rnacentral:lncRNA from 1 species
GGGUUUUGCCUUUAUGGGCUGGGGUUAUUAUCACUGCUUGUGAUUGGUAAUUUUCUGAGCUUCCCAUAAAAGUAUACGAGUUUUGGAUAACUUCUGUUGAAUUUCAUGCUUUUUGGGUCUUGCUUCUCAGGCUGAGCACUCCAAAGUUUUAAGUGUUUCCUGGCUUUUGAAUUUCAUGGUCUGGAUGCAUUUUAAUCCCAUUUUCAGGAGUUUAAUGUUUGAAGUUUCAGCCUUUGUUUUAAAAAUUUUUUUAACAAAAUCUGGGGGUUUUAUAUUUUUAUAUACAAAAAUUAGUUGGACUUUUGAUGUUUAAGACUUUAAUACUACUAGCGUGUAUGGAAUUAUCAUUAUUAGAAUGCUGUAGUAGCUUAAAUUUACGUAUUCACAAA